GCUUAAUGGCCUGGAGCAGCCCCAGGGCCAGGCAGAACACGAAGGCCAGGUAAAAGGGCCGCGCCCAGCGCGUCUCCAACCAGGAGAAUUCCAUGGCUCUGCGCAGCCGCGAACGCCCGCGGUCUCCAGACACAGGAGACAAGAAAUGAAGGCCAUUGAGAAGCUGCUUCAAUCCUACACACACCCCAAAGAAAACCAUACAUUUGUCUACAAACAGGGCAGUGCAAGUUCAUCUGCAUCUCAUUAUUCAGCUGCAAGAAUAAGCAGUCUGACACUUGGUUUGGUCUGGGAACAAAUUUGGUGAGCCAGCCAGGAGCCACCAGGAUGGUGCUGUCUUCAACAUUCAGCAGCAUGUGAUGAAACAAUCUUCAGGAGGUUCUGAGCAGCUUCUGGGAGAAAAGGCAUACAUAUUUAUUUGGCAUGAAUACACAAGAGGCUUCAGAAUGAAGACCCAAAGAUGCAGAAAAAAAUGUCCACUUUUGUGCUUGGUUCAACAAGGUAUAAACGGUAAUGUGGAGCUAUAACUGGACAAAAAAGGCUAGGAUCAAAUGCUAACAGUCUGAGUGGGGAAAUCCAGCAAGGCCUGUCUGCUUAGAUUCUUCUUGGCUUCUGUGAGCAUGCAUUCCUUCCUUCUGGGCAGGGGGAAGACAUUUUCUCUGGAAUGGGAUAACCUACAAGCAAACAAGGUAGGUCAGAUAAUUUCGUUCUUUUUUCUUUUUUUAAAUUAAACCCUUUAUUGUUUAUAUAUUGCAUAGAAAACAGGUUGUUACAUCAAAAGGUCACACAGACAUGAUCCUAUUAUAAAAGCUCAGCCCUUUCUGUGGCUGAAAGGAAUGAGAAUAUCUUGGCUUUCAAAGUGGGCAAAGAUUUGGUUUGGACUUCUCUCCAAAAGACAGCAUGUCUCAGCAGUCCUGAUGCCAGUAGCCACAGCCUGGGUCAUUGCUUUUAGUGAGGCCCAGCAGGCGCAACACAAAUUUCUUUUUGUUUGUUUUUUUUUUUAAAGAGACAAAGAAAGAGAAAAAGAAAGUGGGAGAGAGAACAGGAGUCUUGCUUAUUGCCCGGGCUGGAAUGCAAUCUAAAAAGAGGUAUUAAAAAUCUCUUUUAUGCCAAUAAUUGUGCUUAACAGCAGAGACAGGAAGGAAUACGGGAAGAAAGUAACAAACAACAGCCAACCAAUAUUUUGAUUAAGUCUGUGAAAUGCUAUGCAAAUGCUGAAGAGUGAUAUACUUCCAAUUAUGUGGUCACUUUCAAAAUAGGUGUAAUGUGAUACUGAGAAAAAUGUAUGUUCUGUGGACCUGGGGUGAAGAAUUCUAUAAAUAUUCACUGAGUUUACUUGUUCCAGGUCUGAGUUCAAAUCAUAGAUGUCCCUGUUAAUUUUCUAUCUCAUUUAUCCAUCAAAUAUUAACAAUGUGGUGUCAAAGUCUCCCGCUAUUAUUGUGCAGGAGUCCAAGUCUCUUUAUAAGUCAUUAAGAACUUGUCUUAUGUAUCUGAGUGCUCCUAUAUUGGGUGCAUAUAUAUUUAUGAUCAUUGACUGCUGUUGUUGCAUUGAUCUUUUUACCAUUAUGUAAUGUCCUUCGUUUCUUUUAGUCUGUGUUACUAUUAAAGUCUAUUUUGUCAGAGACGAAAGUUACAAUUCCUGUUGUUGUUGUUGUUGUUUUCUCUCCAUUUGAUUGGUGAGUCUUCCUCCAAUCCUUUGUUUUGAGUCUUUGUGUGUCCUUGCUUAUGAGAUGGAUCUGGAUACAGUGUACCAAUGGGUUUUGACUUUUUAUUCAAUUUGCCUGUCUGUGUCUUUGAUUGGGGCAUUUAAUCCAUUUAAAUUUAGAAUUAAUAAUGAUAUUUGUUAGUUUAAUAUUGUCAUUUAAUGCUAGCUGGCUAUUUUGCCCAUUAGUUGAUAUAGAUUCUUCAUUAUAGAGAUACUCUUUACCUUUUGGUAAGUUUUUGGGAUGACUGAUACUGAUUGUUUCUUUCUGUGUGUAGUGCUUCUUUUAGAAGCUCUUGUAAAGCAGGACUGGUGGUGAUUAAAUCUCUGAGUGCUUGCUUGUUCGUGAAAAAUUUUAUUUUUCCUUCAUUUAUGAAGCUUAAUUUGGCUGGAUAUGAGAUUCUGGGUUGAAAGUUCUUUUCUUUGAGGAUAUUGAAUAUUGACUCUUACUCUCUUCUAGUUUGUAGGGUUUCUGCUGAGAAAUCUGCUGUAAGUCUGAUAGGCUUCCCUUUAUGGGUAACGUGACCUUUCUCUCUAGCUGCCCUUAGAAUGUUCUCCUUUAUUUCAACCCUGGUGAAUCUAGGGAUUAUGUGUCUUGGGGUUGCUCUACUUAAGAAAUAUCUUUGUGGUGUUCUCUGUAUUACCUGGAGUUGAGUAUUGUCCUGCCUUACUAGGUUAGGAAAG